rnacentral:rRNA from 1 species
UGGGGAAUAUUGCACAAUGGGCGCAAGCCUGAUGCAGCCAUGCCGCGUGUAUGAAGAAGGCCUUCGGGUUGUAAAGUACUUUCAGCGGGGAGGAAGGUGUUGUGGUUAAUAACCUCAGCAAUUGACGUUACCCGCAGAAGAAGCACCGGCUAACUCCGUGCCAGCAGCCGCGGUAAUACGGAGGGUGCAAGCGUUAAUCGGAAUUACUGGGCGUAAAGCGCACGCAGGCGGUCUGUCAAGUCGGAUGUGAAAUCCCCUGGCGCAACCUGGGAACUGCAUCCGAAACUGGCAGGCUUGAGUCUUGUAGAGGGGGGUAGAAUUCCAGGUGUAGCGGUGAAAUGCGUAGAGAUCUGGAGGAAUAACGGUGGCGAAGGCGGCCCCCUGGACAAAGACUGACGCUCAGGUGCGAAAGCGUGGGGAGCAAACA